GACAUACUCCCUCCGUCCCAAAAUUAUUGUCUUAGAUUUGUCUACAUACGGAUGUAUCUAUUCAUAUUUUAGUGUUAGAUACAUCCGCAAAAAAAAGAUACAUCCGUAUCAAGAUAAAUCUAAGACAAGAAUUUUGAGACGGAGGAAGUAUUUG
rfam:Triticum urartu cultivar G1812 contig540508, whole genome shotgun sequence.